GAUGAACGCUAGCGGCAGGCCUAAUACAUGCAAGUCGAGGGGUAGAAGAGGCUCGCUUCUUUGAGACCGGCGCACGGGUGCGUAACGCGUAUGCAACCUACCUUCAUCUGGGGGAUAGCCCGGAGAAAUCCGGAUUAAUACCGCAUAAAAUCACAGGAUGGCAUUAUCCAAUGAUCAAACAUUUAUGGGAUGGAGAUGGGCAUGCGUGUCAUUAGCUAGUUGGCGGGGUAACGGCCCACCAAGGCGACGAUGACUAGGGGAUCUGAGAGGAUGGCCCCCCACACUGGUACUGAGACACGGACCAGACUCCUACGGGAGGCAGCAGUAAGGAAUAUUGGUCAAUGGAGGCAACUCUGAACCAGCCAUGCCGCGUGCAGGAAGACUGCCCUAUGGGUUGUAAACUGCUUUUAUUCGGGAAUAAACCUUAUUACGUGUAAUAAGCUGAAUGUACCGAAGGAAUAAGGAUCGGCUAACUCCGUGCCAGCCGCCGCCGUAAAAC
rnacentral:rRNA from 1 species